rnacentral:rRNA from 1 species
UACCGCAUAUUCUGUGAGCAGGAAAGCAGGGGACCGCAAGGCCUUGCGCUCUUUGAGCGGCCGAUGUCAGAUUAGCUAGUUGGUGAGGUAAAGGCUUACCAAGGCGACGAUCUGUAGCGGGUCUGAGAGGAUGAUCCGCCACACUGGAACUGAGACACGGUCCAGACUCCUACGGGAGGCAGCAGUGGGAAAUUUUGGACAAUGGGGGCAACCCUGAUCCAGCCAUGCCGCGUGAGUGAAGAAGGCCUUCGGGUUGUAAAGCUCUUUCGGCCGGGAAGAAAUCGCAUGGGCCAAUACCCUGUGUGGAUGACGGUACCGGAAUAAGAAGCACCGGCUAACUACGUGCCAGCAGCCGCGGUAAUACGUAGGGUGCGAGCGUUAAUCGGAAUUACUGGGCGUAAAGCGUGCGCAGGCGGUUUUGUAAGACAGGCGUGAAAUCCCCGGGCUUAACCUGGGAACUGCGUUUGUGACUGCAAGGCUAGAGUACGGCAGAGGGGGGUGGAAUUCCACGUGUAGCAGUGAAAUGCGUAGAGAUGUGGAGGAACACCAAUGGCGAAGGCAGCCCCCUGGGUCGAUACUGACGCUCAUGCACGAAAGCGUGGGUAGCAAACAGGAUUAGAUACCCUGGUAGUCCACGCCCUAAACUAUGUCAACUAGGUGUUGGGUGGGUAAAACCAUUUAGUACCGUAGCUAACGCGUGAAGUUGACCGCCUGGGGAGUACGGCCGCAAGGUUAAAACUCAAAGGAAUUGACGGGGACCCGCACAAGCGGUGGAUGAUGUGGAUUAAUUCGAUGCAACGCGAAGAACCUUACCUACCCUUGACAUGCCAGGAACUUGCCAGAGAUGGCUUGGUGCCCGAAAGGGAGCCUGGACACAGGUGCUGCAUGGCUGUCGUCAGCUCGUGUCGUGAGAUGUUGGGUUAAGUCCCGCAACGAGCGCAACCCUUGUCGUUAAUUGCCAUCAUUUAGUUGGGCACUUUAACGAGACUGCCGGUGACAAACCGGAGGAAGGUGGGGAUGACGUCAAGUCCUCAUGGCCCUUAUGGGUAGGGCUUCACACGUCAUACAAUGGUCGGUACAAAGGGUUGCCAAGCCGCGAGGCGGAGCCAAUCCCAGAAAGCCGAUCGUAGUCCGGAUUGCAGGCUGCAACUCGCCUGCAUGAAGUCGGAAUCGCUAGUAAUCGUGGAUCAGCAUGUCACGGUGAAUACGUUCCCGGGUCUUGUACACACCGCCCGUCACACCAUGGGAGCGGGUUCCGCCAGAAGUAGGUGGCCUAACCGCAAGGGGGGCGCUUACCACGGCGGGGUUCGUGACUGGGGUGAAGUCGGAACAAGGUA